rnacentral:tRNA from 1 species
GGUGUUGUGACUCAGUGGUAGAGUACUUACCUAGCAUACAUGAGGCACUGGGUUCAAUCAUUAGCAACACUU